UUUUUGAAAAUAAUAAAAAGUCUAAUCUGCCCACUGAAUUUAUUUAAAGGGCUGCAGUAUAUUGACUGUACAAAGGUAGCAUAAUCAAUAGUCUUUUAAUUGAAGACUUGUAUGAAUGAUUUGAUGAAAUAUGAACUGUCUCUUUUUUAAAAAUAAAAUUUAAUUUUUUAGUUAAAAAGCUAAAAUAAUUAUAAAAGACGAGAAGACCCUAUAGAGUUUUAUAGUUAUUUAAUUUAAAAAUUUUAUAUAUAAUUUAAAUUUAAAAUUAAUUAAUUAUUUUAUUGGGGUGAUAGAAAAAUUAAAAAAACUUUUUUUUAAAAUUUAACAUUAAUUUAUGAAAUUAUGAUCCAUAAUUUAUGAUUAAAAGAAUCAAUUACCUUAGGGAUAACAGCGUAAUUUUUUUUUUUAGUACAAAUAAGAAAAAGAGUUUGCGACCUCGAUGUUGGAUUAAGAUAAAAUUUAAAUGCAAAAGUUUAAAAUUUUUGAUCUGUUCGAUCAUUAAAAUCUUACAUGAUCU
rnacentral:rRNA from 1 species